UGUUGCUAACAAUGCUUUAUGUCUCAUUCAUUGCAGCUUAAAUCUAUGAUGGAUUUAGGAACUGAGGUCUAUAUUCAUGCUGGUGGGGAGCUUCUUGCUAUGCUAGAGAACGAGGGGAUUCUUGCUACUUUUGAAUGAAAGGAAUGUGGUGGCACUUAAAUCAGAAUCGAGGAUGUUAACCAUACUUACUCUAUCAUUUGGUUGCUUCUCUACUUUCUUUUCAAUAUCUGUUGCUCGCUGUAUCCUUUGUUUGAAACUUUGCAUUUCUCACAUCUGCUCAUAAAGACAAAUUUCUUAGGCAUCAAGCUUGAUGCCACUGCUCACGAGGCUUUGCAGAUUUUUCAGAUUGGCAAGCAACCAACUCAUAUGGGACUUGGCUGGGCAUAGGAAAGAUGAUCCGUGAAUAAUGUCCAUAACAGACACUAAAUUUCAUCAAUAAUUUGAUGUAGAACAUACGCAACAAAAGCAAAUGGGCAUUCUUCUUCAGAUGCUCAAGAAACAAGUUCAUUUAGAAGGCUAGUACAUUCAUUUCAAUGAAUCUGCUUUUUGUCUUUGACCUGGUCACAGUUGACAUGCAGCAGAACAAUGGUUAAGAGUAUGAGAUGUUUGUUAAAGAUGGCUUCUGCAAUGAGGUUAUGUUUCCAGUUGAUUGUGUCUUCCAUAUUGAAACACAUAAGUGAUGCAACUGUUCUUUCUUUUAUUCAGAAAAGGGGAUAAACCAGAUCCAUAAUAUAUAUAUAUGAAAGAAACAAGUGUUAAUAGAUGAAAUUUUGACAAAAUCAAAUUCACUAAUUAACAUAUCAUCUUUUGAUCAGUGUUCAUGUCAUACAGAAAGCAUAAUUAUCCAUGUGCUCUCUGUUAACUUGCACAAAUAUAAAAGUGCCUAGUACCAUCUUUAUUCUAGGCUUGAAGUUGCAAAGCUUCUUUUUUAAGUAUAUUUAGAGGAUACUAUUAUUAGUCCAGCUGACGGCAAGGCAAAUAUACCUGCGGGUAUCUAGCAAUAAACUAGUAACGAUAAGUUCAUAACUGGAAAACUGUGUGGAGGCUGCACACUCACUGCUGAGUUUUCAUGAACAUAAUAAUAUACAAGUACAUAAUUUGCCAUUUCUAUUUCUCAAAUGAUAUUGUUUUCUUCUUUUACAGGAUUAUGUUGUGCACAAUUGCUAGCACUGUAAAGUGCAUUCUUUGUUGUAUAUCAUGUGCCAAGUUUUCCAUUUUAUUUAUUUCAUCUAAGUUAGUUAUAUGGCAUUAUCAAUUCUUUUUUAUUUGUCUGCCCAGAUUUGAUCUACUGUAUUAUUCUAACAUUUCUUUGAGAACCAGGACAGUUCUUGUUUUAUUUUCAGUAACAUAUGCUGCAAAGAAGUUGAAAAUAAAGAUUUUAUUAGAAUACUUGAAAUCAGCAGUUUUUAUCAGAAUUAGAUGAGUUUGGUGGAUGAGCCAGAUCAAUUUUUAAUAUUUUGGUAUGAAGCCAAGUCUACAUAUUUAUGCUAUUAGAUAUGUGGAAAGAACAAAAUAGUAUGUGCAGUAGUAUGUUGAAUCUGAAAUAUUUGCAUCCUUAAGGAAGAUUUUUUACUUUAUGUUCAAUCACUCCCAAUAUCUUGAUCUUCCAGCUAAUAUUUAUUUAUCUUAAUUCUUGAAUUUGGUUGAAGCAAAUUCAUGUUUCAUGGAAAAAAAACACCUGUUUGGUAUUAUCAAGUGUUUGCUUUAAUAUUUUGUUGAAAAUAAUAAAAUGCUUGUUUCUCAAAUGAUUUGCUGGCAUGCGUGUUUUGGCUUGAUACCUUUUAGUUUUUUUUAUCUUUUCUUAUGAUCAAUUUUAUGAUGAUAAAAUUCUCUGGCAGGUGUGCUUGAAGAGGUUGUCGAAUUGGCUACUUUAAUUUUGGAAACAGUGAAGUUGAAUAAGUCACUAGACCGAUUGCUCAUCCAAAACAUUUUGGCCAAGGAUCAAUGGUGACUAAAACAUCCUAUAUAUAAAUAUAUAUUACAGCAUACCUAAGGGUGGGAAAAAAACUAAAACCAUAAAAAAAAAACUGAAAAAUUGGUUUACUUACUCAACUGGUUUGGUUUCAGUUGGUUUUGACUUUUUUAGUUCUUUGGAUUCAUGUCCCGAGUAAAAUCUCGGGAUUGAUUCUUCAACUCUUAUCCCCAUCCUCCUUUUCAUCUGCUGGACUGUGGUUUUGCCAAAGUUGCACACACUCCGAUCCCUCCCACUAUGCUUCUUGAGAUUUGCAAUACCAAGGCUCCAUUUCUCUCCAUUGUCAACCUCAGGCCAGAUGAGGUCUCCCACCCUCUCAUUAGCUCAGUCUUUCUUUCCUCCGGCCCUGAAGCAAUAAACAUAAGACCCCAAGCAGAAUGGAAGCUGCCCAAAAAGGAAGCAAUUAAGGAUGCCAUUGUUCCAAUCUUAAUAGGUUGGUUUUUUUUCUUUCCUUCUUUCUUUCUAUAAUUGUUCUUGUCCCUGUCUUUCUUUCUUUGAAUUAUCAUAGCUUUACCUUAUUUUCUUUUUGUGCAAAUUUCAUAGCUUUCAAUGCUAAGUAGUAAGCAAUUAUAUGUUGAUUAGUGCGUUAAUGCUGUGGUUAACUUGAUUUGAUUAUUUGAUGAUUCAUAUAUAGCAUUUCAAUAGGCCAGUAAAGGAAAACUAGAUCAUAGCUAUGAUGGCUAGAGGUUAUUUAUCACGGUAUCACCACUUUGAAGUUGAUGAGAGGAAGCAUUUUUGCCAAUGUGAAGCCACAUUUUCACCACAAUCCUUUUAAGUUGAUGAGAGGAAGCAUGUUUGUUCAUCCUUUUUGUUCUUCUUCUU